AGUAGGGAAGUGUCGCCGGCAUCAGUCGCCCCCGCCGACGGCGCUUUCCGGGGGGCGGGCCCUUUGCUCGCUCCCACAGGUCCUUUCGAUGGAACAUGCCCCCCUCUGUCGGAAGGUCUAAGGGCGGUGAGGUCCCCCAGCCUCGCCGCCCGCUUUU
rnacentral:sRNA from 2 species